UACGUAGGUGGCAAGCGUUGUCCGGAUUUAUUGGGCGUAAAGAGCUCGUAGGCGGUUUGGUAAGUCGGAUGUGAAAUCUCCAGGCUCAACCUGGAGGGGUCAUUCGAUACUGCCAUGACUAGAGUUCGGUAGGGGUGUGUGGAAUUCCUGGUGGAGCGGUGAAAUGCGCAGAUAUCAGGAGGAACACCCGUAGCGAAGGCGGCACACUGGGCCGAUACUGACGCUGAGGAGCGAAAGCGUGGGGAGCGAACAGG
rnacentral:rRNA from 1 species